GCUUUCGGGCGUCAGUGGCAGACGGGUGAGUAACGCGUGGGAACCUACCCAUUGGUACGGAAUAACCCGGGGAAACCCGAGCUAAUACCGUAUACGCCCUGGUUUUAGGAUCGGGGGAAAGAUUCAUCGCCGAUGGAUGGGCCCGCGUCGGAUUAGCUUGUUGGUGUGGUAACGGCGCACCAAGGCGACGAUCCGUAGCUGGUCUGAGAGGAUGAUCAGCCACACUGGGACUGAGACGCGGCCCAGACUCCUACGGGAGGCAGCAGUGGGGAAUAUUGGACAAUGGGCGCAAGCCUGAUCCAGCCAUGCCGCGUGAGUGAAGAAGGCCUUAGGGUUGUAAAUCUCUUUCGGCGGGGAAGAUAAUGACGGUACCCGCAGAAGAAGCCCCGGCUAACUCCGUGCCAGCAGCCGCGGUAAUACGGAGGGGGCUAGCGUUGUUCGGAAUUACUGGGCGUAAAGGGCACGUAGGCUGGCUGUUAAGUCGGGGGUGAAAUCCUGAGGCUCAACCUCAGAAUUGCCUCCGAUACUGGCGGUCUCGAGUGCGGGAGAGGUGAGUGGAAUUCCCAGUGUAGAGGUGAAAUUCGUAGAUAUUAGGAAGAACACCAGUGGCGAAGGCGGCUCACUGGUCCGGUACUGACGCUGAGGUGCGAAAGCGUGGGGAGCAAACAGGAUUAGAUACCCUGGUAGUCCACGCCGUAAACGAUGGGUGCUAGCUG
rnacentral:rRNA from 1 species